UACGUAGGGUGCGAGCGUUGUCCGGAAUUACUGGGCGUAAAGAGCUCGUAGGUGGUUUGUCGCGUUGUUCGUGAAAAACUCACAGCUUAACUGUGGGCGUGCGGGCGAUACGGGCAGACUGGAGUACUGCAGGGGAGACUGGAAUUCCUGGUGUAGCGGUGAAAUGCGCAGAUAUCAGGAGGAACACCGGUGGCGAAGGCGGGUCUCUGGGCCGAUACUGACGCUGAGGAGCGAAAGCGUGGGGAGCGAACAGG
rnacentral:rRNA from 1 species